CGGCGAGUGAGCGGCAAAAGCUCAAUUUGAAAUCUGGCACUUUCAGUGUCCGAGUUGUAAUUUGAAGAAGGUAUCUUUGGGUCUGGCUCUUGUCUAUGUUUCUUGGAACAGAACGUCACAGAGGGUGAGAAUCCCGUGCGAUGAGAUGUCCCAGACCUAUGUAAAGUUCCUUCGAAGAGUCGAGUUGUUUGGGAAUGCAGCUCUAAGUGGGUGGUAAAUUCCAUCUAAAGCUAAAUAUUGGCGAGAGACCGAUAGCGAACAAGUACAGUGAUGGAAAGAUGAAAAGAACUUUGAAAAGAGAGUGAAAAAGUACGUGAAAUUGUUGAAAGGGAAGGGCUUGAGAUCAGACUUGGUAUUUUGUAUGUUACUCUCUCGGGGGUGGCCUCUACAGUUUACCGGGCCAGCAUCAGUUUGAGCGGUAGGAUAAGUGCAAAGAAAUGUGGCACUGCUUCGGUAGUGUGUUAUAGUCUUUGUCGAUACUGCCAGCUUAGACUGAGGACUGCGGCUUCGGCCUAGGAUGUUGGCAUAAUGAUCUUAAGUCGCCCGUCUUGA
rnacentral:rRNA from 1 species